CCUACGGGUGGCUGCAGUGAGGAAUAUUGGUCAAUGGACGAAAGUCUGAACCAGCCAAGUCGCGUGAAGGAUGACUGUCCUAUGGGUUGUAAACUUCUUUUAUAAGGGAAUAAAACGAGGCACGUGUGCCUUUUUGCAUGUACUUUAUGAAUAAGGAUCGGCUAACUCCGUGCCAGCAGCCGCGGUAAUACGGAGGAUUCGAGCGUUAUCCGGAUUUAUUGGGGUUAAAGGGGGCGUAGACGGGUUGUUAAGUCAGUGGGGAAAGUUUGCGGCUCAACCGUAGAAUUGCAGUUGAGACUGGCGGUCUUGAGUAUAGUUGAGGCAGGCGGAAUUCGUGGUGUAGCGGUGAAAUGCUUAGAUAUCACGAAGAACCCCGAUUGCGAAGGCAGCUUACUAAGCUGUGACUGACGUUGAUGCUCGAAAGUGUGGGUAUCAAACAGGAUUAGAUACCCGGGUAGUC
rnacentral:rRNA from 1 species